CUAGAGUAACAAAGCAAACAAUCCUUUUUCAUUUCAUUCAGUCUCUAUCAGAUCAAAUUUAUAUCAAAUUAUAGGCUAAGAUUACAAAUGAGAUUUUGUUCAGUCCUCGGUUUGGUCAUCGUGACUUUAUGCUUAGUUCAGUCUAGUCACGCACUGGAUUGUUUUUCUUGCAUUGGCAGGGAUCCAAAUUGUGGUGAUGCAGACCGAACAAGAUGUAUUACAGAAGGGUUUUGUUAUAAAAUCAUUCUUAGAAGUUUAGGAGUCGCACUUGGUUGUGCUAAAUCAGAAGAUUAUUGCCUGCAUAUGUCCAACCGUAUUGGACCGAUUGUUCAAAUGUGUAUACUUUGUAGCUCAGACAAUUGCAAUAGUGCGAGUAGCGACAAUUUAUUUCAUUCGUUGCUUGUCUUCGGAGUUAUAAUUAAUAUCGUGUUGCUGGUUACUUAUCGCUCUUAAUUUGUUCAAAAUAAAAACGAAACUUAUUUUGUGAUCGUA